rnacentral:rRNA from 1 species
AGACGAACGUUGGCGGCGCGCAUAAUGCAUGCAAGUCGAACGAAGUCCCACCCUUCGGGGUGACGACUUAGUGGCAGACGGCUGAGUAACGCGUGAGUGAUCUGCCUUUGGGUAGGGGAUAACAGAGAGAAAUUUCUGCUAAUACCGCAUACGAUCCGCAGAAUAGAGGCUGUGGAUGAAAGGUGCCGGGUAACCGGUUUCCGCCCUUAGAUGAGCUCGCGUCCUAUCAGGUAGUUGGUGGGGUAAUGGCCUACCAAGCCUUAGACGGGUAACUGGUGUGAGAGCAUGACCAGUCAGAGGGGGACUGAGACACGGCCCCCACUCCUACGGGAGGCAGCAGCAGGGAAUCUUCCACAAUGGGCGAAAGCCUGAUGGAGCGACGCCGCGUGAGGGAUGAAGGCUCUAGGGUCGUA